rnacentral:rRNA from 1 species
CCUACGGGAGGCAGCAGUGGGGGAUAUUGGACAAUGGGGGAAACCCUGAUCCAGCGACGCCGCGUGAGUGAAGAAGUAUUUCGGUAUGUAAAGCUCUGUCAGCAGGGAAGAAAGAAAUGACGGUACCUGACCAAGAAGCUCCGGCUAAAUACGUGCCAGCAGCCGCGGUAAUACGUAUGGAGCAAGCGUUAUCCGGAUUUACUGGGUGUAAAGGGAGCGUAGGCGGCCCUGUAAGUCUGAUGUGAAAAUUUGGGGCUCAACCCCAAACGUGCAUUGGAAACUGCAGGGCUUGAGUGCCGGGGAGGCAGGCGGAAUUCCUAGUGUAGCGGUGAAAUGCGUAGAUAUUAGGAGGAACACCAGUGGCGAAGGCGGCCUGCUGGACGGUAACUGACGCUGAGGCUCGAAAGCGUGGGGAGCAAACAGGAUUAGAUACCCUAGUAGUC